AUGAUGACUGUGUCCCCUUGGCAGGUGUGCCAGAACUACCAGCAGGACUCAGAGGUCGCCAUCAACCACCAGACCUGCAGUUCUACGCCUCCUACCUCUACCUGUCCAUGUCUUACUACUUUGACCACAAUGAUGUAGCUUUGAAGAAUUUUGCCAAAUACUUUCUUUGCCAAUCGCACGAGGAGAGGGAACAUGCUGAGAAACUGAAGAAGCUGCAGAAUCAAUAAGGUGGUGGAAUCUUCCUUCGGGAUAUCAAGAAACCAGACUGUGAUGACUAGGAGAGUGGGCUGAAUGCUAUGGAGUGUGGGACACUCUUGGGAAAAAGUGUGAAUCAGUCACUACUGGAACUGCACAAACUGGCCGCUGACAAAAAUGACCCUUGCUUGUGUGACUUCAUGGAGACACAUUACCUGAAUGAGCAGAUGAAAUCCAUCAAAGAACUGGGUGACCAACCUGUCCAAGAUGAGAGUCCCUAAGGCUGGCAUGGCAGAGUAUCUCUAUGACAAGCGUACCCUGGGAGACAGUGAUAAUGAAAGCUAAGCCUUAGGCUAACUUCCCCUUAGUCACAGGUGACUUCCGUGGUCACCAAGGCAGUGCAUGCGUGUUGGGGUUUCCUUUACCUUUCCUAUAAGUUGUACCAAAACAUCCACUUAAGUUCUUUCAUUUGUACCAUUCCUUCAAAUAAAGAAAUUUAGUACCC